UGGCUGUCGUCAGCUCGUGUCGUGAGAUGUUGGGUUAAGUCCCGCAACGAGCGCAACCCUCGUCCUUAGUUGCCAGCAUUAAGUUGGGCACUCUAAGGAGACUGCCGGUGUUAAACCGGAGGAAGGCGGGGAUGACGUCAAGUCCUCAUGGCCCUUAUGUCCAGGGCUACACACGUGCUACAAUGGCCGGUACAAAGGGUAGCAAGACCGCGAGGUGGAGCCAACCCCAAAAAGCCGGUCUCAGUUCGGAUUGGAGUCUGCAACUCGACUCCAUGAAGUUGGAAUCGCUAGUAAUCGUGGGUCAGCAUGCCACGGUGAAUACGUUCCCGGGCCUU
rnacentral:rRNA from 1 species